CCUCAGGGAGAGUUCCCUUUACACCAGGCACAGGGAACGACAGGAACGCCCCAAAGCGAUGCUGGCCCCAGGACGUGGCUGAUGAGAUGUAGCCGAAGCGGAGGGUGACAUCAUGUUAGCUCUGGUUGGAGUCAUCUGCUGAUGGCACUGAGCUCUUACAGGAACCUGGCCCUGGCUUUGCUCGGUCAGCUUGCAGACCGUCAGGAUCCAAACCCAUCUGCACUGGUGCCCUGGAGUAAAACACCAGCAGCCUGGUCCCAGCCAAGGAGUCACCAGCUCUGCGGGUACAAAGGUGCUGAAGGUUGACUUGCACCUUAGAGAAACCACGAACCAGGAGCACAGCCCUCGGCAAUAAAUGCCCUGCUGCCCUAAACCAGGGCCCAGAUUUGAAGCACUUCUGGUGAGGACAAAAAUCUGCCUCCUGUUCAUGGAGACCUCAAUAGGUAGCACAAAGGCUUUUCUCCCCUGGCUCAGUUCUCCAUGGCUCGCGGUGCUGCCCGAAGCUUUUCAGCUCUUCCCUCCACGUGGCCACGGCGUUGGGCACAGACGCAGCUCUUCCUCGAUGAAGGCAUCGCUUUGUGUCACCACUUUGGUCUCUGGAAGAAAAAUUGUUCCUCCAGGUCUUGCCAUCUGCUGCUAUUUAAAGGAACAUCAUCAUCAUCACCAAUACGUUCCGCUGGGGGUCCUAAGCAGAGGUCGUCUAAGAAAGCUCUAG
rnacentral:lncRNA from 1 species